GAUGAAGAACGCAGCGAAAUGCGAUACUUGGUGUGAAUUGCAGAAUCCCGUGAACCAUCGAGUCUUUGAACGCAAGUUGCGCCCGAAGCCAUUAGGCCGAGGGCACGCCUGCCUGGGCGUCACACGUCGUUGCCCCCCCAUCUACUCCUUCGGGAUUGCGGGGGGCGGAUGAUGGCCUCCCGUGCGCCUCGUCGCGCGGUUGGCAUAAAUGCCAAGUCCUCGGCGACGCACGCCACGACAAUCGGUGGUUGCGAAACCUCGGUUGCCCGUCGUGUGCGGUCGUCGCGCAUCGAGGGCUCGAAAAAAUUGCCGGGCUCUGUCUCGGCUUUCAACGCGACCCCAGGUCAGGCGGGGUUACCCGCUGAAUUUAAGCAUAUCAAUAAGCGGAGGA
rnacentral:misc_RNA from 1 species